UGGCUCAGAACGAACGCUGGCGGCAGGCUUAACACAUGCAAGUCGAGCGCCGUAGCAAUACGGAGCGGCAGACGGGUGAGUAACGCGUGGGAACAUACCCCUCGGUUCGGAAUAACUCAGGGAAACUUGAGCUAAUACCGGAUACGGCCGGGAGGCGAAAGAUUUAUCGCCGAGGGAUUGGCCCGCGUCCGAUUAGCUAGUUGGUGUGGUAACGGCGCGCCAAGGCGACGAUCGGUAGCUGGUCUGAGAGGAUGAUCAGCCACAUUGGGACUGAGACACGACCCAAACUCCUACGGGAGGCAGCAGUGGG
rnacentral:rRNA from 1 species